GGACCCAUGGCUUAGCUGGUAAAGCGUCGGAUUCCAGUCCCGAAGAUCACCCGUUCGAAUCGGGUUGGGUUCA